UCUGCACCUAGAGGCAUUGUAGGUGUGGCUGGUGAGUGACAGGUGCACCAAUAUGUGGUAGAGAGAAGAAAGGGUAUGUGUAUGUUCAGCGUUCUGAUCUAUGAACAUCUGAAUGAUUAGUACCCUAUCAUU
ensembl:snoRNA Gm23750 small nucleolar RNA SNORA17